CCUUUGUGUAUUGGGCUGGGUUUAAGGCCCAAUGGGCCAGGCCACGACAGCUUAUAUUUCUGUGCUCUGGUAGCUGUGUUAUAGGACACAGCUUGAUGAGAUUUUGUCCUUUAGAAAGCCCUAGUUAGGCCCAAGCCAAGGAUGGCCUGCCCAGGACCCCGUUUGUCAACCCCAGAAAAUAGAAACGCUUACGACGAAUGCUACUCU
rnacentral:lncRNA from 1 species